rnacentral:rRNA from 1 species
CGGGAAUCUUCCGCAAUGGACGAAAGUCUGACGGAGCGACGCCGCGUGAGCGAAGAAGGUCUUCGGAUCGUAAAGCUCUGUUGUUAGGGAAGAAGAAGCGCCGUUCGAACAGGGCGGCGCGGUGACGGUACCUAACGAGAAAGCCCCGGCUAACUACGUGCCAGCAGCCGCGGUAAUACGUAGGGGGCGAGCGUUGUCCGGAAUUAUUGGGCGUAAAGCGCGCGCAGGCGGUCCCUUAAGUCUGAUGUGAAAGCCCACGGCUUAACCGUGGAGGGUCAUUGGAAACUGGGGGACUUGAGUGCAGAAGAGGAGAGCGGAAUUCCACGUGUAGCGGUGAAAUGCGUAGAGAUGUGGAGGAACACCAGUGGCGAAGGCGGCUCUCUGGUCUGUAACUGACGCUGAGGCGCGAAAGCGUGGGGAGCAAAC